rnacentral:rRNA from 1 species
CCUACGGGAGGCAGCAGUCGGGAAUUUUGGGCAAUGGGCGAAAGCCUGACCCAGCAACGCCGCGUGAAGGAUGAAAUCCCUCGGGAUGUAAACUUCGCAAGAACAGGAAGAAUAAGUCGGUGACAAUACCACCGAUGAUGACGGUACUGUUUGUAAGCUCCGGCUAACUCCGUGCCAGCAGCCGCGGUAAUACGGGGGGAGCAAGCGUUGUUCGGAUUUACUGGGCGUAAAGGGCGCGUAGGCGGCCACCGCAAGUCGACUGUGAAAUCUCCGGGCUUAACCCGGAAAGGUCAGCCGAUACUGCGGGGCUAGAGUGCAGAAGGGGCAACUGGAAUUCUCGGUGUAGCGGUGAAAUGCGUAGAUAUCGAGAGGAACACCUGCGGCGAAGGCGGGUUGCUGGGCUGACACUGACGCUGAGGCGCGAAAGCUAGGGGAGCGAACGGGAUUAGAUACCCCGGUAGUCCUAGCCUUAAACGAUGAAUGCUUGGUGUCUGGGGUUUUAUAGUCCCCGGGUGCCGUCGCUAACGCUUUAAGCAUUCCGCCUGGGGAGUACGGUCGCAAGACUGAAACUCAAAGGAAUUGACGG